AGUGAACGCUGGCGGUAGGCCUAACACAUGCAAGUCGAACGGCAGCACAGUAAGAGCUUGCUCUUACGGGUGGCGAGUGGCGGACGGGUGAGGAAUAGAUCGGAAUCUACUUUUUCGUGGGGGAUAACGUAGGGAAACUUACGCUAAUAGCGCAUACGACCUACGGGUGAAAGCAGGGGAGCUUCGGACCUUGGGCGAUUGAAUGAGCCGAUGUCGGAUUAGCUAGUUGGCGGGGUAAAGGCCCACCAAGGCGACGAUCCGUAGCUGGUCUGAGAGGAUGAUCAGCCACACUGGAACUGAGACACGGUCCAGCCUCCUACGGGAGGCAGCAUUGGGGAAUAUUGGACAAUGGGCGCAAGCCUGAUCCAGCCAUACCGCGUGGGUGAAGAAGUCCUUCGGGUGGUAAAGCCCUUUUGUUGGGAAAGAAAAGCAUCAGGUUAAUACCCCGCUGUUCUGACGGUACCCAAAGAAUAAGCACCGGCUAACUUCGU
rnacentral:rRNA from 1 species